rnacentral:lncRNA from 1 species
AAGUAACUGAAGAAGAAGAAGAAAAGAAGACACAGAAUAAAUGAAGAUGUAACAAUAUUUAGAAAAGAAAAGUAAAAGAAGGAUGGAAAACAUGAUUGAAAAAGAAGUAAAAAGAAGAUAAAGAAGAGAUGAAAAAGUCACAAUAUUUAGAAAAAGAAAGGUAAAAGAAGGAUGAAAGACGUCAUUGAAAAAUAAGAAGAAAAGAAGAUAAAGCAGAAAGAAAGAAAUGACAAUGCUCCCCCGUCAUAAGAAUUUUGAAAAAGAGAAGAAAUGAUGAAAAGAUUGAAAAAGAAAAAGAGAAGAAGACAAGAAAUUUAUAAUGGCAAGAAUCUCAUCAUGGCACAAGAAGGAUAAAAAUGUAAAUUCUUAAAGGGUAUUAUUGUAAAUUAUGUAAUGUUAUGUUCUAUUGUUUCUAUAAAUAAGAGUUUGUGUAGCUGAGAAGGUAGAAGUUUGAGUUUGUAAGUAAAAGUGUGUAAGUUUCACAUAUAAUAAGUUGUAAGUGUUUUAUGAAGAAAUGUCUACGAGAUUUCUAUCCUAAGUUCUAUGUUUCAUGAAAACUGAGUUGAAAGAGUUGAGUCAUUUUGUUGCUUGACUUAACUACUAGAGGUUUACUUUGAAUCUCAAUCCAAAAUCCCUUAAGGUUGUGAGGUCUUUGGACUUUUUAAUCCUUUAAAAAGUCUCUGUGUAGCACCGAGAGGUGUUAAUACGUUGGUCAGCCCUUAGAUCUAGUGGUCCCGAC